AAUGGCCUCAACGGGCUGGGCCGAUCAGAAGCCAGGGGUUCCGGGUCUCCCUCGUGGUACAGGGGCCCAAGCACCGCGGCGGGUUCCACUGCUUUCUCAGGCCAUUAGCAGCAUCAGGAACACAAACAGGUGCUGAUGGGAGCCGUUCUGAGCUCCCCCCCCCACCUCCCCGGCCUGUGGAAAAUUUGCUCUCCCGCCCUCCCAAAGCGAAGUCUAAUGGACGUUCAAGCAAUGGACAGUUCCUGACGACGGCUGUGGCGAAAGGAUGCUGGUUCUCGGUGUCGGAAGCGGCUUUCAACUCCAGCAGAGGCCUGAGCAGUUUGGGAAACCCGGGGUGGAAGAUGACAGAUUAUGAAAGCAGGCAGACCUUGCUGAGCCGUCCAGAAUGAGGCCCAAAGCAGUGCGAAGCCCAAAUGUGCUGACACCUUGCAAAUGGUCCGACAUCGCUGGAGUCUCCAGGCCAACCCCCGUGGGAAUGUUCCAUGAAUUAGGUCAGGGCUGGCAUGGGCGUCCACAGACCUAGGAAUCCCAGCCCCGUCUCACUACACAUGUGAUACUUGGAGACACCACUUGAAUCUCCUUUUAUCACUUUCUCAUCUUUAAAAAAGGGGACACUUCUUCCUAGAGCCUUAUGUUGUGCCAUUUUCCCGCUUUUUAAACCGUCUUCUCCAACAGGCUACAAAAACUUCUGUGUCUUCCUGCAGGAAAUAACGCGGUUAAAACUUUUUGCCACAUUACUAUGCAGAACGUUUUACAAAAUAUUUAUUUGGAAGAGUUGGAGAGGAAGAGACAAAGAUUUUCCAUCUGUUGGUUCAGUCCCCAGAUGGCCACAACGGCCCACACUGGGCCAGGCUUUGGGUCUCCCACGUGGGUAGCAGGGGCCCAAGGACUUGGGCCAUCUUUCACUGCUUUCCCAGGCCAUAGCAGAGAGCUGGAUUGGAAGCGGAGCAGCCAGGACAUGAACAGGCACCCACCCAUACGGGAUGCUGGCGCUGCACGCCAGCGCCACCCCCAGAACACUUUUCAAAUGUUAUCUCCAGUAGCCUUAGCAUGAUGAGUAUUGGCUUCCUUACUUUACAAAUGCUGUUAUUUCAAGACCCUGGAGCUUGCUGAAGUCAAGGCUGAUGAUUUAACUUCAAAUUUUUCAAUCCACGGGAGCCUGCGCCUAGUGGGAAAGGAUCUGGUGCUCCUUGCAGGGGUGUCUGGAAGUUAACAGAUCGGAGACUGACUUUCCAGCCAAGAAACCUAGCAGAUGCCACCUGAGCAUCAAGAUAAUAUUACCGAUAAUGGGGCCAGCGCCGCGGCUCACUAGGCUAACCCUCCGCCUGCGCGUGCCGGCACCCCGGGUUCUAGUCCCGGUUGGGGUGCCGGAUUCUGUCCCGGUUGCCCCUCUUCCAGGCCAGCUCUCUGCUGUGGCCAGGGAGGGCAGUGGAGGAUGGCCCAAGCGCUUGGGCCCUGCACCCCAUGGGAGACCAGGAGAAGCACCUGGCUCCCGGCUUCGGAUCAGUGUGAUCAGUGUGGUGCGCCAGCCGCAGCGGCCAUUUAAGGCGUGAACCAACGGAAGGCAGACUUUUCUAACUCUGUCAAAAAAAAAAAAAAUGACUGAUAAUGGGAAGAGCUAAGGGCACAUCACCUCCUCAUUGUUUUUCACAAAAUUCAAGAGCCUUAUAAUGAGGAAUGUAGUUAAACUCAAUUUGAAGGAUAUUUUACAAGGCAUCUGAUCAGUGCUCAAAAAUCUGAAGGUCAGGUGGGCGACUGACACAGCAGUUAAGAUGUUGACCGAGAUGCCUGAAUCCCACAUUGGAGUGCAUUGGGUUUCAGCUCCAGCUCUAAUGCCACUUCUGGCUUCCUGCUCAUGUGUACACUGGGAGGCAGUAUGUGAUGGCUCAAGGAGUUGGGUCCCUGCCACCCACGUUGGGGAAGCUGGUAGAGUUCCUGGCUCCAGGCUUUGGCCUGGCCUAGCCCUGGCUGUUGCUGGCACUUGGAAAGUGAAGAAGCAGAUGGGAGAUAUUUCUCUGCUUUUCAAAUAAAUAAAAUAAUCUAAAGGCCAUUAAAGACAAGGGAUGAAUGAGGAGCUGUCAUAGACUGGAAGAAACCUUAUAAAGAAAAAAGAAAAAUAUCAUUUGGUGGAAAAACUGGUGAAAUCUGAAUAAGGACUGUAGUUCAGUGUAAUUUUACCAGUGUUAAUGUACCAGUUCUGAUAACUGUACCACCACUAUGUGGGAUGUUACCGUUGGAGAAAGCUGGGUGAAGCAGGAGUUCUGCAAAAAUUAUUUCAAAAUAAAACUUUGUAGACUUGGAUACAAAGGACUGAUUAUCAAAUGCUGGAAACAUCAGGAACUCGUUUAGCAAGGGAAGAAGUGCUGCAGUGACUGGACCCCAAAACAUCCUAGAAGACAGGCCCAGGACGAUCACUGCUACCGUGCACCUGCAGAACCAGACCCUACGAAAGAGCACAAUUCCAGAAGCAGAAAAGACAAUGUUGAAGUUAUGUGCCUGGAGCCAAAAUGAAGGUGUACAGGCAGCUGGAGCUUCCUGCUGAUGUGUCCUGGGAGGCAGUAGAUGAUGACCCAAGUUCUUGGGUUCCUGACACUCAUGUGGGAGACCCAGAUUGAGUUCCAGGUCACUUCAGCCUGGCCCAGUCCUGGCAGUUUCAGGAAUUUGGAGAGUGAACCAGCAGAUGGAAGAUCUUUUGCUCAGUUUCAAAUAAAUUUAAAAAAAGUUAUUCAAAUAGAAGCUUUAUGUUUGUCAAUGGCCCCUGCAGAUGUAUUCAUCCUCAACACAGAUACCAAAUUCAAUUUCACCUGAGUAUCUCUUUCUAGUUUUUCUACUCCACAGAACAGGCUGUAACUUGCCACUUAGAAUAGCAAGCAGAGAAAGUUUAAUAGGAGUCAAUCACAGAGAAGGAUUCUCUGCAGGUGAGGAAAACCUUCUUACCCAAGACUAACAGAAAAGUGUGCAAAUGAGGGACCAAACCAGUUUAAUUAUAAACAAAGUCUUACAUCUUUUAAGGAAAGGCAAACGAACCAAUCCCCUGAAGGAACUUUAUAAAAGCACCUGGCUCUCCGUGAUAGUUGCAGGGUUACCUGAGUAUCUGAAAACAGUUCAAGAAAAUAAAGGUACUCCAAUACAGUAAUAUACAAUCCAGUGCACUAUUCCCUGUUUUUAGUUAAUGAAAACAUAUAACAAACAAUAGUGUAAAUAACUCGAAGAGAAAAGGGCAUGGGGUGGGGGGGGCUGGAGAUACCAACACUACUGAGCAGAAGUCACCCCUAGAGGAGUGAAGAAGGAUGGAGUUACAACCAAACAAAGACAGGAAUACACACUGAGGAGAGGUGUAAUUCCACGAGUCACCCUUGAUAACACUGCAGAUUAUUAACCAAAUCAAUAAAAAGCAGUACAGUGAGCUUGACUGAAAUAGUUCAUUUAGGAUGAGACCUUUGUGGGUAGCUGAGUUAUACUUCAUUAAAAUUUCUGAUGAAGCAACUUUGGCGUGUCAAUCUCUUGAUGAAAAUCAGCAGCUGAAUUUUAAAUAGAGUUAUUGUAAGUAUUAUGAAAUUGGAUUCUUCUGCACUGGCAUGAGGCCAUAAAAGACAGCAGAAAAUCAUUAUUAUGAGUUACUAGAUCAGUUUUAAACCACUCCAUUUGAUGAAACAAGUGAGGUCCUUCCCUCCUGACCCAGGCUGUGGAUCGCUAUUUUCCCCAAACCCUGAAAAGAGCAGAAAAAUAAGGCAAUUGCUCAUUUACCUUGUUUUUAUUUCAAUGUAACAUGCAGUAAAAAAAUUAACAGGAUUUAUUAGCAUUUACAAUGCUUACAAAGAAAAAGGACUUUUAAAAGCAAUUUAGUUCAGAUUUAAGAAAAGCUCUAAUUAAACACUUACAAUAAAUCUAUUUCCAAAUGUUCAGUUUGGACCAAAAUUUAAUUUAUGUCUGCUGUCUAUUUGCAGAAUUUUUAUAUAACCUCUGAUUCUUGGGAUAUCCAGCCCCCAUUUUCCUAACACAGCAGGGAAGACAUAUACAUGUGGCCACUUAAAUUAAAGGAAGAUAUGGAGUAGGGGAGAUCCCAGGCUGCAAAAAUAUAUACAAGCAUUUACCUUUUCCAGAACUAAACAUUUCUUCCAUAAAAAUAUUAAAUAGCCAAGCCCUAUAGAACUAGGGCCAGGACUACUUCAAAUAUAGCUAUUCUGUAUUUUAAAAAUAUAGGGCAGAAAGCCUUUUGGGUAAUAUUUAUACAUUUUCACACAAUAUUUCUAGGUCCCUAAGUGAAUCAUGAAGCAUUAUGCAGAACCAAAAAAAGGUCUAUUUUUUACAUUAUCUCUUAAUUUAAUCUCAUAAAUCUCUAGUAAAUAUUGCAGGAACUACAUUUCAAUAUGAGAAUUCACCUCAAUAGGAAGUCUUAAUAGAAGGCUUAAUCUCCAUAGCCACAUAUUAUCAAAGUUCAGACUUAUAUAAUGAAUGGGUAGUUGGCAGACAUUCGUUCUGUAAGACGAAGCAACAGCAUUAUUUCCCUUACCAAAAAAAAAAAGGCAGAAAGUCCCUGUUUUGGAAACAA